AUUGAACGCUGGCGGCAGGCCUAACACAUGCAAGUCGAACGAGUGGCGGACGGGUGAGCAAUGUCUGGGAAACUGCCCGAUGGAGGGGGAUAACUACUGGAAACGGUAGCUAAUACCGCAUACCAUCGGAUGUGCCCAGAUGGGAUUAGUUAGUAGGUGGGGCAACGGCUCACCUAGGCGAAGAUCCCUAGCUGGUCCGAGAGGAUGACCAGCAACACUGGAAGGAAGACACGGUCCAGACUCCUAAGGGGAGCAGCAGUGGGAAAUAUUGCACAAGGGGCGCGAGCCUGAAGCAGCGAUGCCGCGUGUAUGAAGAAGGCCUUCGGAAUGUAAAGUACUUUCAUCUGGGAGGCGUUGGCCGAAGAGAAAGCACCGGCUAACGCCGUGCCAGCAGCCGCGGUAAUAC
rnacentral:rRNA from 1 species